rnacentral:rRNA from 1 species
CUAAGAAUCUUCCGCAAUGGGCGAAAGCCUGACGGAGCGACGCCGCGUGAACGAAGAAGGCAGAGAUGUUGUAACGUUCUUUUCCUGUUGAAGAAUAAGUGGAAGAGGGAAUGCUUCUAUGAUGACGUUAGACAGGGAAUAAGCCACGGCUAAUUACGUGCCAGCAGCCGCGGUAACACGUAAGUGGCGAGCGUUGUUCGGAUUAAUUGGGCGUAAAGGGCGUGUAGGCGGCGUAUCAAGCUUGGUGUGAAAUAUUUCGGCUUAACCGAAAAAACGCGCUGAGAUAUGAUAUGCUAGAGUUCAAGAGGGGGAGUUAGUAUUCCAGGGGUAGGGGUGACAUCUGUAGAUAUCUGGAAGAAUACCGGUGGCGAAGGCGAACUCCUGGCAAUGAACUGACGCUGAGGCGCGAAAGCGUGGGUAGCGAACA